ACUCCUACGGAGGCAGGCAGCAGUAGGGAAUCUUCCGCAAUGGGCGAAAGCCUGACGGAGCAACGCCGCGUGAGUGAUGAAGGGUUUCGGCUCGUAAAACUCUGUUAUUAGGGAAGAACAAAUGUGUAAGUAACUGUGCACAUCUUGACGGUACCUAAUCAGAAAGCCACGGCUAACUACGUGCCAGCAGCCGCGGUAAU
rnacentral:rRNA from 1 species